CUAUAGUUAGAUCCUUUUUUGGUGUUUCUAUAGUUUAGAUCUUCAACCAUUUGAGCUUAUGAUAGUUCUACAUAACCCUCGGUCUCAUACAACUCACCAGGACCGAGGUAGUACAUACGAAGAAAAAACAAGUGAACCGAAUUAAAAGACAAGCAAUGAAAUACAGUGGUCCCUGGGUUGAGCCACCAGGAAAACAUUACACAGAGUGACUUAGUUUUUCAUAAUUUUAUGGUUCUGUAGAUAAUUCAAGAGGUUAUCGACGUAACCGUUUUGCUUAUCCAUGUCACACAGGAUAGCUUGCAUGUCUUUCACUUUGCCUCGGUAGAUCUUCCCUUCUUCAUCGAGCAUUAUCAAGUUAACUGACUCCGCCACUGAUUCCCUAGUAAACCCACCGUCUGACUCAUCUCGCGGAAUUUGAAACCCCAGCUUCUUCUCCUCCAGCUGCUUAGCAAUAGAUCCUUUGUAGUACACACAUGGCAACAAAAUAAGCGCCUUUCCAAACUGCAUUGCCUCUACUACUGAGCUGUACCCUGAUGAAUUCAACAAGGCACCGACCGACUCAUGAUUUAAUAUCUUAAUCUGAGGCACCCAAGUGGUGUAAAUCAUCCCACGCCCUCGUGUUCGGUCUUGAAACCCUUCUGGCAACUCUACUGCCUCUGUAUCAGACGAGCCCCUUUGUUUUUUCAUAGCCCAAAAGAAUGGUAACCCGGUCAGCUCCAAACCAAGCGCUAACUCUGUGGUCUGAGCUUGAGUCAAUUUGGCCUCGGACCCAAAAGCUACAAAUAGUACGCUUCCCUUUGCUUGUUUGUCGAGCCAAUCUUUUAUCUCACUCCAAUCUUCAUUGUCAUCCUCUUUGCUCUCUUCAACAUCAGGCAACAAGCCCACUGGAAUCACGGGUUUCUUGUACAGGUCCUGUAGUAAUUUUAACCAAUCCCCUUCAAAUUCGACGCUGCUUCUUAUUGCCACCAUAUCACAAUAUUCGAGACUCCUCCCAGCACGAUAAGACUCGCUCACAUUUCCCGUCUCCUCAUCAGCUUCAAAACCAGGAGCCAGGGCUAGAGUCUGAUACAGAGACAUUGCAACAUUUGUGUCGAAGUGAACCCACUUAGGUUUAACCAUGAAAUCUUCUGGCCUCACGCGGUAAUCAUCGCCCUUGAUCAUGUGAGAUGGAGGGCCUAAAAAUCCCAUGAAGGAAGCAGAGUAAACACUGUAGUGACACCAUCGAAUGCGGAGUCUCGAAGCAAUAGGCCUCAGCCAGUAAGAAACAUAAUCAGCGAGUAUCCAAUCCACUGUGCUGGAUUCCAAGAAACGAGUCAUAGGUUCUUGAAGAAGAUCGUACGCGAGUUUCAGGUACUUGACCUUGUGGAAUGGAACCUCAGUUGUGGACUCUGCAUUUUCGGGUAAGUUGGGUACUAAUGGCAGUGGAAUCUUGACAAGAUUUAUCAAAGGAGCCAGAUUCUGAGGGAUUUUUGGGAGGCUAUCGAUAAUUUUGGGAGUGGAAACAAAAGAGAUCUUGUGACCCUUUGCAGCCAUGAGCUUGGCUAGCUUCCAGUAGGGAGAUAUGUGACCAAAGGCUAACCAAGGGAACAUUACUAUGUGCAAUUUCUCAACAGAAGCCAUAUUGUAAGCUGAAAGCUGAAAGCUUUGUUUUCUGCUUGGCAAGAUUAAUGUAUUAAUAUGAACUAUAUAGAGAGGGCAGGCACAUGUCUGGUCAAAGGUAUCACCCUACGUGAUGUCAACCGUGACAUUCACAUUUCUGGUCCCAGAAAUUGCAUCACAGACGCGAUCUUUUAAAUUAUAGGGUCGGUUUGUUUCUAAGAAGUAGAAGCUGCUUCUGGAUUCUACUUUUAUUUUGACCCCUUUGCGUAAAAGAGUAAAAACACUUUUAAGAAGCCGAGAAUGCUAACUUCUCUGUCAGAGUUUUGAUUCUUUUCCCAACACUUUAUUAAGUUAUUUAUUUCUCACUUUUAAUCUACUUCUUUACUUUAAGGAAUAAAUCAUUUUUUUAAGUUUGCCCAAACGGCCUCAUGGAAUUAUGUUAAGUACCCCUUUCCUUCAUGUAACUCAUCAUCUUAGGUUGGUUGAAGAGAAAGAAUUUGUUUUUACAUUUUGGGUAAUGAGAAGUACAAAGUUUAUACAAGCUCCCCAGAAUUGUUUUGAGGACGAGCUAUGCUCAUUUCAUGUUUUUCAUGCCUUCACACUUCUGCUUCAGAAAAGAUACCUCUCCAUGGAAGGUGUGCAUUACUACUUAGCAGAAUAUACGUUCGAAUUUUCUCUGGAGACCAAGAAUUAUUCCAAUUUUUUUUUAAUAGUAAAUAUUUUUCUCACUUUCAUUAUUAUCUUAACUUUUAUUUGGACAAUUAUUUUUGGGUACUUGGUUUCCCUGACCAAACAAACAUAAGAAAAAAAAUCUGAUUUCGAGCGUGCUUUUAUUUUUAUUUUUGCUUGUAAAUAAACAUUUAAUUUGAAUAUUGUCUAAAUUAAAAGUGGAAAAGCACUAGUGAGUAUAACUAUCUCUCUUUCAUAAAUCAAAAUGCAUGUUAGAAAAAAUAGCAAAGUAUAGCUACUAAAAUGAUAGGAUAAGUAUAAGUUGAUCGUCUGCAGAAAAUAAUUUGUUGUGGACGGCGUACUAUAAAUUCACAGAUGUAAAAAUUAGGUGGCUGCAGUAUGCAAAACAAUAAUCAGUUUUGUGCUGGCACACAAUGCAGUUGUAUACUUGUAUGUCAUCACAAGAUAACUACUAUAAAAUCUAAGAUGAGGGGAGAUGCAUCAUGCAUGAGAUGAGCAAGUGAUCAAAUAUGAUAGAGUUAUUAUGCCGUAUAUAGUUGGACAUGUUAAGUUGUUUGUAGUUGGAAAAAAUAGAAAUGAUAAUGAUUUUUGGGUCUUAAAUUUGUGUAUAUAUAGCAUAUAAAAAACAGAGGGAUGAAGGAACUAUAAUACGAAAAGAUUUUUUCAUUUAAUUUUGAAUUCUACCAACACACAAUAAAUUUCAUGGUACGUUGGACGUUGUCAAUAUGGUUGUUUCCUGGUUGCUUAAUUUCAUAUCGGGUUGAUACUCCAUUUGCCAUUGUACUGGACCAAAACUUUCAGUUGGCCUACCAAGUCAAAAAAGUUUUCAUUUAAAUAAUAAAGCGUCUAAAAACUUACAAUCACAUAAUUAAUCUUAAGAAAUAUUUCAGCGCCGUUAGCCAUAUCUUUGACUUUAACGGAAAACAUUAAAUUGCAUAAAAUUUUCAGAUUUGCAUGUAUAAAUUAGGGUUCUUAAGGUUAAUUUGAGUCUGGAUGAUUGAGAAAAGGGGUCGGAGGUUGAAUAGGUUCUGGCGACUGUUUUUGCUUAUACAGUUCAGUAGGUUUUAGAAGAGCUGGGGAAUGGAUUUAUCCUUUAUGCAUGCCCAGUAGAAAAUCUUUUGAGCGUGCAGGUAUAGAGCAAGUGUUUCUUCUACCUUAAAACCAAUAAAUUUCAAAUUUGUACGGACAAGCAAAUGGCCUGUCUGAUUUUGUGUCUGGUUAGCAAAGAUAAGAAGAGUGAUAGUAUAGCAUGUAGUGUUGUAAAUGGUAACCAGAAGGCAUCAUCUAAGCUCCAUGUCUCUCAAGAUACAGAGAAAUGGCUCAUGAAAGUAAAGGAAGCUUAUGAUCUGUAAAAUAAUAUUCACAAUUGAAGAAAGCUUAUGAUCUGUAAAAUAAUAUUACAUAUGUACGUCUUGAGCUUUGCUUUCUUCUGUUUAACUUGUGCUUCAUGAUUGGUAUAAAAUAUGUAUGUGCUCACUGUGUUGAAUGGUUUUAGAUGCGGAUCUUAAUACUUUACUUAAAAUCACAUACAACAUCUUUAAGGAUUCGAAUAAUUUUAAAUUACAAACUGUAUGCACAAUUUUAAUGAUCCAGAUCAUGUAUAUAGUGUCUUGCUCAUAUUGUUACUGAUCCUGUGCCUAUCUUAUUAACAAUGCUCCUGUUAAAUAGAUUGGUUUGCCCAUUUUAUGGUGUAUACAAUUGUUUUCCAUGUUUCCAACGUAACGUCUAAAUGUUUACAUGCUUCCAGAUCAAGAUCAUAUGAAUCAACAACACAGUUUUGGGUUGGGGGGGGGGGGGGGGGGGGGGGGGGGGGGGGGAAGUGGAGUGGAGAGAUUGCUUGUAAAGUUGUCUUUACUCGGUAGGACAACUGAAAAUUUUGAUCGAAAAUAGUGAUGAAACAGAACAUUAACACGUUAAGUAUUUAACGGAGGCUAACAGAAUGACUUUUUUGCAAGUUGUAAAUAGUACAAUUAGUUGACUGAAAGCUUUUUUCACUCGGUAGGCUAACUGAAAAUUUUAAUGCAGUGCAGUGAUGAAAUAAAGCAUUAACCACUUUCAUAUCCACUGACAUUCGUCGAAGUGUUGCAUAUAUAUAUAUAUAUUUUUUCUUUAGAAGUGUUGCAUAUUUGUCUACUCUACUGCACAACAAAUUUGGGAUGAUUUGACUGUUGGUUUUUCUCAAACGAACUCUGCCUCGUGUUUUUUACUAAUUACGUAAGACAUUGCCUCUAUUUAUCAACACACUUUAUCCGUGAUUGCAUGCAUUCACCAAAUAUAGAACUCUUGUGACUGAACCGACAAUUUGGCCCCUCUUCAUAAUUGUGUGUGCAUCUACCAAACUGAGGUUGCAAAAAUAUGAAAACUGAUGGACGAUGAAAACUUGCUCAAUAUGCUGUAACGUAUCACGGCCAUCACCUCAAAGUUUUUGGCUAUUGUCCCUUCCUCCCCUCAUCUUGCUCUUGCUCUCUCCUUUUAUAAUAUGAUGGAGAUGAGUCACCAUCUGAAGUUUCGGGAAUGGAGGACAAGUGUCUCCUUUGUAGAGGUAGAGUAGGUGACGAGGAAAGGCUAGGAUUACAUGUGGCGGGUUUUCCAGAAAAUCUGGAAUGGCUAACAGGAAGCAGGUGAUGGAGCAGGCAGGUGAUGGAGAGGUGACGUGGCUGCCGUAGAGAAGGGGCUACGGUCUCGCCGUAGAGAGUUGCAGCCCGUAAGAGAUGUUGUGCCCCGUAGGAGAUGUUGUGCCAUCAUUCAGACUUGUUUAUAAGGUUCAUGGCUCUGCUAAUAUCAUCCACUGUAUCUCUUGUUCAUGUUCUUGAUAACUAGACAGAGAUCAUCCUCGUAACCCUACGGAUGAUCCCGCAAGGGUGGUGAAGCUCCAUAGAUAUAAGUUUCAGGGGUGGCUUACAGAGUUGCAGUCUUGCCGUAGGCAGUAGAAAAAACGAAUGCAUAGCCGUAGUUUAGUUUACAGGUUUUUUAGCUAUCAAUGAUAUUAAAAUGUGUGCCGAACCCUCGGUCUCAUACAACUCACACCGGGACCAAGGUCGUACAUACGAAAGAAAAAACAAGUGAACCGAAUUAAAAGACAAGCAAUGAAAUACAGUGAUCCCUGGGUUGAGCCACCAGGAAAACAUUACACAGAGUGACUUAAUUUUUCGAAAACUUGUGGUUCUGCAGAUAAUUCAGCAGGUUAUCGACGUAACCGUUUUGCUUAUCCAUGUCACACAGGAUAGCUUGCAUGUCCUUCACAUUGUCUCGAUAGAUCUUCCCUUCUUCAUCGAGCAUUACCAAGUUAACUGACUCCGCCACUGAUUCCCUAGUAAACCCACCGUCUG
rnacentral:lncRNA from 1 species